AGAGUUUGAUCAUGGCUCAGGACAAACGCUGGCGGCGUGCAUUAAGCAUGUAAGUCGAACGGACCCGCGCAAGCGGGUCAGUGGCAGACGGCUGAGGAAGACGGAAGAAACCUACCCACCGGAGGGGGAUAACCCCGCGAAAGCGGGGCUAAGACCGCGUACGCUCGCGCGAGGCAGGUGCGCGCGAGGAAAACGGUGAC
rnacentral:rRNA from 1 species